CUUUAUUAGAAGAUGUACAACCAUACAAAUAUUUAAGACUUGUUUUGGAUCACACAUUUUUAAAGUCUUACUUGAUUUCUUAAAUUCCGUACCGACUCAAACUAAGGCCCUGUUUGUCCGUAGAUACCAAAAAAUUUUUUUCACUUUUUUUGGAAUUUUAGAGUUGGAGUUGAAGUUGGAGUUGUGUUUGGCCAUAGUUUUUAAAAUUAUAGUUUUUGGUGAAAUGUAGUUGUAAAAAAGUGAUUUUUUUUUAAAAACAAGUUUUUUGAGUUUUUGGUAUUCCGGAAUACAACUUCAAGUUGUAUUUGGAAUUCUCAUGGCCAAACGCUGAUUCCGGAAAAAAGUGAAAAAAAAUUCGGAAUAAAGUGAAUAAUUCUUAUGGCCAAACGGGGGCUAAGACAAUCUUUUUGGGAUGGAGGAAGUAGUAUGUAUUAAUUUGUAAAGUAUGAAUUUCAUAAUUGCAUAAUCUAUAAUACUACUGAUUAAGGAAGAAAAAUUAUGGUUCUAGUAGAAUUUGUAUAGUCCUUCGUAUCCUUUACCUUUGGUUUUAACAUAAAAUAAAUAUAUUUAGAAAUUAUUUAAUUUUAAAUCCUUUCUGAUUGCAAAUGAUUUUUAUGUGACUAUGUUAUGGAUAUUCACUAUGUGCUGUGUUUCUUGGACUUUUUCCUUACUGGUUUCUUAGUCAUUAUGUCAUUACUGAUGCUUAUUUGUAGGCUGUGAUGAUAUAAGCUUAUUGAGUUAAUCGAGUUUUGGUCAAGUGGAACCGUAUCUUGGCAGGGCAAACCAAAAUGUCUUGUAAGUGGAGUAACGAGUGUUGGAAUGACAUAGUUCCUAAACCCUAUAGUGAUUGAUGUUGUUGUUGUUGUUGUUGUAUGCUAUUCUGGUUUGCAGCCAUGGCGGUGUCCCUUUCCUUUACCCGAUUUUGUGAUUGAUCUGAGCCUACUUAUGUACUCGACCAAGAAUAGUCUGUCAGAGUGACAAAAUAAGUAAAACACUUGAGAAUGGUCUGUUGUGUUCUUGUAUUUUCUGUCUCUGCUUUAUUGGUCAUAAUGCCUUACAAAGAUCACAAUCAUAAGAGCAGUAUUAUUGAUGCUUAUGUAUAGGAUGUGAUGAUAAAGCUUCUCGGGUUUAUUUGGUUUGGGUCAACAGGACCUGUGUCUUGGUAGGGUGUGCGGAACCACAUACCAGGAUGAAUUAUAACCAUAUUGAUAUUAUUAAUAUCGAUAUUAAUGAUUUAUACAGUUAUUAGUUGUUUUUAUCAUGGUUUGAGGUCAUGGCGGCGCUCCUUCCUUACCCAAUUUUGUGUCUGACAUGAGCCUAUAUAUGUGCUCACCUGUCACUUUAUGGACACUUUAUGAAUAUAUAGUUGUGUUUGGGCUGUUAUGAUAAGUUUAUUUUCCAAUGGAAAGAAGAACCAAGUUGUAUCUUGGCUUAGAAAUGUAAAUGGCUUUUGGGUAGAUAUAACCUUGAAGUUGUUCUCCUCUAGCUAAAGUUUACCGAUUCAGGUGCUUUUCAUCAGUACAAACUUCAGCUCAAUUGGCUCUCUUUAAUAUGCUAUCAAAGAGAAGUUCACAGUUCUUGACAAUUGUAAAUGGUUUGAUGUUGUUGAAGGCAACCAGUGGACUAAAAUGGUGAAGCAAUAGAACUCAUUUUCACAUUGAGAUUGAGUGUGUGAUGGUUUGAAGGUAGUGACCAAGGUUUCCAAUAAGGAUUAUGUUUGUGGACAUUCUUGAUCAAAGCAAGUAUAUGCUGUCUGAAGAAAAGUGGCCAAGCUGAAAAAGGAUUCUUACAAUGUGAAGCACAAUUUGCAAGGAAUGUAAAAAACAACUAGAGUGAUGAAAAGCUUUUUGGAAUGGAAUGUUGAAUCAAGCACUUUGCUGCAGAUUGUAGAAAGUAUUGCUCUAUGACUUAUGUUUUCUAGUGAUGUUCAUGAGCAGAAAACCUUUUCCUUUUGUUGUUGUAUUAUGGCAAAUAGCUAAGUUUUUAUGCUAGUCAGCAGGGGAAAUAUUUGUUAUUUGGAAGUCGGCAUCCUUGAUAUGACUGUUUUUUUUUUUAAAAAAAAAAAAAUCUAGGAAAGUUGUUUUAUUUCAUAUUGUCAGUCUCAAGCUCGAACAAA